GGACCACAAUGGAUAGUGGCGCACGGGUGAGUAACGCGUGGGAAUAUGCCCUGGAGUACGGAAUAACUAAGGGAAACUUUAGCUAAUACCGUAUACGCCCCAAGGGGGAAAGAUUUAUCGCCGAUUGAGAAGCCCGCGUCGGAUUAGCUUGUUGGUGAGGUAAUGGCUCACCAAGGCGACGAUCCGUAGCUGGUCUGAGAGGAUGACCAGCCACACUGGGACUGAGACACGGCCCAGACUCC
rnacentral:rRNA from 1 species